rnacentral:lncRNA from 1 species
AGAAAGAUAACAUAGAAAAAGAGCCACAAAUAAGGAUUGUGACAACAAUUCAAGUAAUUUCCAUGGUAUUUUUAUUAUCGAUAUACGUACAAAGAGUGUUCCAUUCUUAAGAAGCACAGCAGGUCACAGUUAGCAUAACUUGUUCAUUUCAGCCUUUGAACUGCUAGCAUGGCUUGAGUUUCCUCAUUCCACAUGUGAAAGACCCCCACCUUUAGCCUUUGUCCUGCAAACAACAUAACAUCAGUUCUUUUCUCCACUGGCAAAUAGCCUCGAAUUCAUUCGACAAGACAUGAAAUUCUACAGAGUUUUACUGAUAAACCCACAAGGAGUAACCCAACCCGCAUUUCUUUGAAAAAGACCAAAUUUUCCAUUCCGCAAGGAUAAUGAAAGCUUACUUGUGAUCGGAAGGAUUUGGCCUGAGUUCAUAAACAAUUGUUGCCACAACAUCCCUCUUCAACAAAAGCACUCUAAGUCACAGCAUAAAGAAUGCACUGAUAAAAAGAGUGAAUUGUUGGGAAGAGCUAACCUUUACGUUGUUGAUAAACGAUGAGAAAGAGUGAGUCGCUAGCUUGAUGCAUUUGCAGAGAUGGCAGACCCGCCCAGGAACCAUUUUCGAACUUUGAUUGUUGGUCAUUAAAGGACAGUCG